GGGGAAGCCAUAGUUAGGGUUUUCAAGCUUCCAAGCUCCAUAAUCAAGAAGAACGAAACUCGAGGUUAGACAAAGGGAAGAAGAAAGUUGAAGACUAAGUUGUUGAAUUGGACUAUAUUUGAUACCGAGUAUUGCAAAGCUACUUCAAGGAUCCUAAAGAAGUCGGAGAUCGUCCACACUAUCAACUACAACUGCUCGGUAUUUUUAU